AUGACAAGGCUGACCCGCAUCUCCGACCACCGCGCCGUCAGCAUGUCGCUGGUGCUGCUGCCGUCGUUCAGCAUAACAAAUACAUGUCCUCCAGCCUCGUCGAAUCACGCGCUGGAGAGCGCCUGGACGUACGCGGCGACGAAGUCGAGCUCUCGCGAGCUAAGCGACGGCCUCAAGGAGCGCGGCGGCGAGGAGGAGCUACCACCACCUGGCGCUGCGGCCAGCCCGCCCAUCGGCGCGGAGGCCAGCCAACGCGGCGGCGAGCUCCUGCCCCCGGCAACGGCUAGAGGCGGCCGGCAACCAGCUCCCCCGGCUGCGCGGAGGCCAGCACCGCGGCAGCGGCUAGAGGCGGCGCGCAGUGACGGGUGGAGGCGGCGCCCGGUCGCGGCUGUCGAGCUCCUGCCGGCGGCGGCAUGCUCCUCCUGCAAGGCCGUCGAGCUCCUGAGCUGGCGGUCACAGGAGCCGAUACAAGGCCAGGAUGCACAGGGGCGACUAGCAAAUGGUGCUCAGCAAAGUGCAGCUCAACAGUUCAGAUUUUGGCAGGACAUUCCAAUUUUAGUGAUGGUUAGCAUGCUUGCGUACUUCUGUUUCUUGGAACUACUUCUGUUUUAUGAAUUCAAUCUGAAUGACAUCUGCACUUUCACUGGGACAGUGACCAAAAGCUACCUAUGGGCCUAUUCAUCCUUCCAGCAUGUUAUUGUGAUCCUGUUUGCGUAUAUCUUUUACAACGUGCUAAGAGUGAAUGCAGUCCUGGCGGUCCUACUCUCGUCGUUCACUGGGUUCGGGAUCGCUAUCAGUACGAACUCACUGCUAGUGGAGUGCAUGAGGUGGAGAUCCAGGAGGAGGAGCCAACGGUUGGCUCAGGGUCAACCUCAGCCCGGGAAUGAAGCAACAGGGGCAGCCUCCACAAUCCGGUGUUCACAUCGUCUGAUCAUUCAGCUGUGCUUACCACCGCUCGCUCUCGCUGUCGGUUUCUGCAGAUCAAGACGAGAGCUCGUCAGACCUCAGAAUCACAAUGGUGGCAAGAAUAGAUACACGGGAGGAGAUCUUCCUGGCCUUUGCAUCGGAGGCAACGUGCCACCUAGAGUUUGGCCAUGGGUGUAG
rnacentral:rRNA from 1 species